UCUUUUUUUUUUUUUGCAUUAAAAGAUUAUGCCUAAGGGCACAAAGAGGAAAAGAUAGGGUUUCAAGCACCUGCAAAAACCUACAUAAGAAAGAAAGAAAGAAAAAUCAACAAAAAGUGUUGAUGAAGUUGCAGUUUUAACCAUCAGCCCUGAAGGUUGUUAAUGUCUAGCUCACGGUUAAAAAUCAUGCAUUAUGAAGCAAAGCCCGCAAGAACUAAAAGGCGAGGUCAAAUUGACACUUCUAGCUGCUUUAUCGCCAAAACGCCGUGAUGGCUUUCAAAGACAUAUCAGUGAAAAUUGCAAGCCAUGUGGUAAUAAUGACAAUACUUGCUGCUACAGUUUGGAUGUCAG